rnacentral:snoRNA from 1 species
UCCUUGUAUCUCUCCCAUGCAUCAUAAAGAGUUUCUAAAUCCAUCUGCACAAAAGAAGAGAUAUCAUUCCUCAACUU